CAAAAGCGUAUAUUAAAGUUGUUGCAGUUAAAAAGCUCGUAGUUGAACCUUGGGCUUGGCUGGCCGGUCCAUCUUUUUUGAUGCGUACUGGACCCAGCCGGGCCUUUCCUUCUGGCUAGCCUUUUGGCGAACCAGGACUUUUACUUUGAAAAAAUUAGAGUGUUCAAAGCAGGCCUUUGCUCGAAUAUAUUAGCAUGGAAUAAUAGAAUAGGACGUUAUGGUUCUAUUUUGUUGGUUUCUAGGACCAUCGUAAUGAUUAAUAGGGACGGUCGGGGGUAUCAGUAUUCAGUUGUCAGAGGUGAAAUUCUUGGAUUUACUGAAGACUAACUACUGCGAAAGCAUUUACCAAGGACGUUUUCAUUAA
rnacentral:rRNA from 1 species